GCCACUAUAGCUGAGUGGUUAGAGCACUGGUCUCGUAAACCAGGGGUCGUGAGUUCAAUAAUCACUGGUGGCU